rnacentral:rRNA from 1 species
UACAGAGGUCUCAAGCGUUGUUCGGAAUCACUGGGCGUAAAGGGCGCGUAGGCGGCCGAUCAAGUCGGGGGUGAAAGCCUGUGGCUCAACCACAGAAUUGCCUUCGAUACUGUUUGGCUUGAGACCGGAAGAGGUUAGUGGAACUGCGAGUGUAGAGGUGAAAUUCGUAGAUAUUCGCAAGAACACCAGUGGCGAAGGCGGCUGACUGGUCCGGUUCUGACGCUGAGGCGCGAAAGCGUGGGGAGCAAACAGG